CUCGAGUUUUCUAGCUAGAUAAUGUCGAAGAGACACUUGCUCCAGCAUUUCUCCUCUCGCUUCUUCCAUUUUGAGGCGCUACUUCGAACAGAUAUCACCGUUUUCGUCGCUCCCCUCCACGGCCCUGCUCUGCCUGAUGCACAACUGCAUGGUGCCGCCGGUGUACGCGCCGUGCCUGAUCAAGGCCGGGUUGAAGAACACACGGCUAAUCGACCAGUGCCCUGGCGGGAGGGGCUGAGCUGAUGUCAGGCUCACUGAUCGUGUCUCAGCAACGCCAAUGCCAAUGCCGGAUCACCUCGGAUCAGUGGUUGGAAAUAGCGGGGGAAGCAGAACUAAAGUUCCGAUUCUUUGAUUGUUUUGUCCAGUUGUUACUAACGUUCUUAUUCUUUUUCCGAUUUCUGGUUAGUUACAGGCAAGUAAUUGCUUUAGUGAUCCUGAUUUACAGGUGUUUUCUUAGUUAGUGUAUGUGCGUUUGUGUAUCUCUCUACUGCAUAAUGAACAGUACUCCCGGAGCUUCAAUCACACUGCCGCAUGACACUGUUACAUCUGAUGAUGGAUGGUGUUAGUAGGAGCCAGCGAUGUUAUUUCCAGAUCAUGUCAGUGAUCAAUUCAAUACGAGAAAGCACGCACAAUGCUUGAUUUUAUUUGCCACGUUAUAGUGACCUUUUUUUGUAGUGUGUCACCAGGUGUCCGGAUGCAAGGAUGUUGUUUUGGAUCCUACAUUUCUACCUUCCAACUUUUCAGUACUGCAAAUAUACUCAUGAUGUUA